UGCUAUGGGAACCGAGUCUUUGGAAGGCCCAGGCCUCUUUUUCCUCCUACCCCCAGCCUCCCUCCAUCUCUAUUCCUUCUUAAUUGGUUUUUAGUUCCCUGGCUUUCAGGCCGUCUGUUUAUUUUGAUUGCAACUCCACAGAACAAAUCUUUAAUGAACCAGCUUGUGGGGAGAGCCAUUAGCAGCCGCCUGCCUCCAGGGAGUGGGGGAGGCGCCUGGCCUGGGUCCCAGCCUGGACUUCUACUCAGCGAGGAAGCGGUGGCCAGCAGGCUCCAAAUAUUUGAAAAACAGACAGACACAUUGUCCUCAUCUCCAGACAGAGGUCACCUUGAAGAAUCUGCAGAGGAGGUCCGUGGGAGCUGGCAGACCUCAGGGGAGAGGAGCGGACUCACCUCUGGAGCUCCCACCAUGGGAAGAAACAAGACCUUGACUUGGACCAGACAGGCACUGAAAUGACAGCCCUGGAGGAACACAUGGCUGCUGUACACAUGGCUGCUCUGUUCGAGUGUGCUGGAGCCAAGGCUGGGCCUGGCCCUCUUCAGAUCUGGGACGACCGUGCCUCCGCACUUAUCAUCUGAUGUUUAAGCAACACCACCACAUGCCUGAGCAAAUGCAGCCCACCUCCCAAGCUUGGUGCAAGAGCUCCCCACCACGGACAGUGGGGGCUAACUGGGGUGUGGGCUAUGUCUCCUCCUUCCCCCAAUCUGCUGCCUCUCCACUCUCAUCCGAUAGCACACGGGCGCCACUUCUUUCUUCCUCUGGCAUCUUUCUCUUCAGAUCUGCAUCUCUAACAUCCAACGGGACGCACAGCCAAAGCUGAGAGGGCUCCUCUUCCCUUGUGUUCUUGUCGGUCAUUUGCUGCUCAGUGGGAAGAUCACAAUUCUAGGAUCUGUCCUUGUCCUUGUCCCCUCAAGUCAAUUCAUCAUAAGCCACCCUACUCUCGAUCACAUCUGUCCCCUCAUCUUUUCAUCCCCUCAUCUUUUUCUCAUAAUCUCUAACCUUACCCAGUCUUCUCCCUUUCUUUUCUUUCUUAUUAAAUUCCAGAAACGGAAUCUAGGACCUCAUGCAUCUUAGGCGACUGUUCUAUUACUGAGCACGUUCCCUAGCUCUCCUCUUACUUUAAAAAUGUUUGUGUGUGUGUGUGUGUGUGUGUGUGUGUGUGUGCAUGUGUUUGUGUGUAUAUGUACGCAUGUGUGUGCAUGUGUAUACAUAUGUGUGUAUGUAUAUGUGUGAUAGUGUGCAUGUGUAGGUAUAUGUAUGUGUCUGUGUGUGUCUAUGUGUAUUGUGUGUGUGUGUCUGUGUAUGGUGGGAUCUCCAGAGGUGAGUGCUAAGUGACAGGGAGAAGCAGCUUGAGGCGAGCACACGUGUGUCUGCCAGAGGUCAGCAGUAGAUAGCUUCCCCAAUCACUCUCUACCUUUUUAAUUCAUCUACUUAUUAUUUUUGAAUUAUAGUCUAUCCCUGAACCUGGAACUUACUCAUUUGGCUUGACUGGCCGGCCAGAAAACCCCAGGGAUGCUUCUGCCUCUGCCUCUGCCUCUGCCUCUGCCUCUGCCUCUGCCUCUGCCUCUGCCUCUGCCUCUGCCUCUGCCUCUGCCUCUGCCUCUGCCUCUGCCUCUGCCUCUGCCUCUGCCUCUGCCUCUGCCUCUGCCUCUGCCUCUGCCUCUGCCUCUGCCUCCCCAGUGAUGGUCUUUAACCAGGGAUGCUGGGAGUUAACUCAUUCAUACAUUCAUUCCUAUGACGUAAGCACUUUACCAGCUGAGCCAUCUCCCUAGCUCUUGCUUUUACUCUUAGAUUCAGAACCUUAACUAAGUUGCUCAGACUCUUCUUCGCUUCACUCUGUAGCUCAAAUAGGAUUUGCACUUGUGACGUUCCUGCCUGAGUCUCCCUCGUAGCUGGAAUUACAGGCCUGGACCACCAUGCCUAGUUAACCUGUCAUGUCUGACUGCCUGCCCGACUUUGCUGCUCUUUCCAAGAAUCAGACUGGCUAAAACAGGCUAGUUCUCAAGGUCCUGGAAGGCUCCCCUCUUUUUACCUCAUGUACCCCUGGCUUCUGAGGCAGAAAUUGGCUUCUUCGAGCUGGCCCCAUGCUUCCUCUAGCCUUCUCUCUGUCCCCUGCCCUGUCCCCCACAUUCUGAUACAAGCCCAGGGAUCUCUGUAAGUUCAGCAAUCUCCAGUCUCGCUCCCCUCUGACCUUUGGUAUUCGGUGCCCUGUGCCUGCAUCCAUCCUGCCCAGCCCCUCUCUAGGUCCAGGCCUCCCUGCCAGCUCCCGAAAGUUCACAAGCAGCCCUGACCAUGCUUCAGCUGCAUAACCUCUUCAAGUCCCUCUUAAAGACUAGCUGUUCUCUGUGAGGGCUCCGUGCUUGGGGAAUGUCCUUCUGACAAAGAAGGCAAUGGAUGAAUCUGAGUGGUUGUCAUCAGCCACGCCUCCGAGACUUCUUUUGAGGUCCCAUUCAGGGAAGUGCUCUGGCUGGCAUGCCUGGCCCUUUGCAGCUCCCAAGCCAGUUGAGAUCUUUGGUUGUUGUUGAUUUCUGUUUGGGGGUGCGCAUGCCAUACCAUGUGUGAGGUGGUCAGAGGACAGCUUCGUGGAGCUGGGUCUUCUUCUCCACCUAUGCAUGGGUUCCAGAGCUUGAUCUACCACAAUCUCAGGGUGCCACUGCCUGCUAAGCCAACUCACUGGCCCUUUAAAAAGAAAAAAAGAAAAAGAAAAAGAGAGAAGUUUAGGUUUGGGUAGUCAGGCUGGUCUGGCGGGCUUGGGGAUUCUACUUAUCCCUGAUGACAACCAAGGGGUAGAACUAAGACCAGGGUUCCCUGACCAUAAGCCCUGCAAGUGUAGCUUUGGGCCUGGCCACAAAGCAGGGGCACCAACCACAUCGCUAUGGAAAGAGAAUGGGGAAGAAAUGUCUCCAGUGCCUCACUGCAGACAGCGCUGCUCAGGGCCCUGGCCACUUCUGCAUUCCGUUUUCAAAGUCCCUUAGCAGCCUGCUCCCACUCUGAUUGCUGGCUUUUGGUGACACUAAUGCCAACACUGUCCCAGUGGAUGUUUGGUGGGACCAGGCGGACCGUGUGUGCGUGUGUGCAGGCACGAGGGGCUCUGAGGCGGUUGGAAACAAAGGCCCGGAGUGAGAUCCAGGGCACAGCUGAACUGCCCUGAACUCUGCUUUUUUUGUGUUCAAGGAAAUGCAUAAUUCAAGAACCACCCACGGCCUGGCGGCCCAGCUAAGCAGGGCUGGAAUGCCUUUCCCGUUAGGAAUUGUUUUUUCUAGUUAGCCUGUAACCCUUCCCCUGCCGCUCCCAGCUCCCCGGCAGCUGGGGCCUGACUCUGCCUCAGCCUUCCUCAGAGAUCCACUGGGAGGGAUGGAUACCAAGGCCGGCGUCCUGAGACAUCUCCAACUCUGUCCUACUUAGGCAGAUUUAGCCAGUGGGCUUGGGGACAAAUUGUGGCCUGCAGUUGCUUCUCCUACUCAGAGAGGCACUAGAGACAGCCCAGGCUGCAAAAGAUGGGGUCCACAUGGAGGGACCCAAGAGAGCCCUGACAGCAGCCCUUGGGGCCUUCACUCCUGGAGGAGGAGGCAGUACCACGACGUGCCCCAUGUUUCUUCCCUCAGCGCCCUCAGCCUCAUAGAUGCCGGGGUAGAGCAGUUCACCUGAGCUACACAUUUUCAACCCCAGAGGGUAAGAGGUCAGGUACUUGAUGCCUUUGCUGUAACAUUGAACAGUCAGUACUGGGCUCUGAAGGCGCCAGAAGCUAGAAAGAGCAGACACCUAGACAAGAGUAACUUUUCGUCUCCUCUCUGUCCUUGUUCUUCAUGUUCCAUACCAGUCCAACCCAGGUAGACACCAGAACCCCUCCUCUUGUCCACCGAUGAGUCCAGGAAUGGUCACACGUAGGGACUCUGAGAGGGAGGGAGGCCAGAGACAACCUUGCCUGCUCUAACAGACAUCGUGCCAAGAGUACUCUGCUGUCAGAACAGGAUUCAGCAAGGAACUUCCCCUGAUUCUUCUUAAUUACCAGCAGUGAAGACAUUCAAGACGCCGGAGAGCAGAGGUCAAACCCCACC